rnacentral:lncRNA from 13 species
UUACAGACGAAAGUACUCUUGACUCGAAGGUACCUGUACGUCUCAGACUGGGACUUAAUAAGCAAGAAUCGAGAGAAUCUAAGGCUCGAAAAGCAACCAAAAGACAGGGUCGUAAGGAAUAAAAUAAAUACGCGUUCAUCCGAUUGCAUAUUUGUAUGAAGAAAGAAAAGCGGUUCAGCUUACCGCUCAUUAUGUUGUCAACACAUAGGAAGAUGCGCGGAUUAAUGGCUACGUUAUCUCGUUUAAAACGUACAUGAAGCAUCUCUUUUUUUUUUUUUUUCAAGCAUAAAAAGUACAAUAACAUUAAUAAUACUUUAGAAUCUAAAUUUCGAUAUCUUACGAUUUAGAUUGUACUCGAUUAUUUAUCAUACAUUGCUUAGGAAAAGUUGGUUACGUGUGUUUAUAUUAAAUCAUUUAUUGUUUUGAAGAUUGUGUACGUAAUUUACUUUGAUCGCACAUUUAAUAAACAAUAAUCAUUAAUAAUCCCAAAGCUACCUUUUAAAAAACCUAAGCAUAUUUUAUAUGAAAAUAGUAAUGUAUAGAUAUAUUUUAAUUGUAUAUAGUGCUUAAUAUCGAUUAAACUAAUAAGAAUGUGUAGUAUAGCUUGUAAAUUCGAUUAACAAUAUUGCGGCACCAAAUAUCUUGUACAAAAUAUCAUAUUGAUGACAUGCAACUUGUUAAAAUUUAUUUGCUACGCAACAUAUUUUUAAUGAAGGCAAAAGUGUAAAUGUUAAGAUUUAAUCUGUGGUGUUUUAUAAACUGAUAUUACACUUUAUUGUGUACAUGUGCCCAUUCUAUUUUACAAUUAAGAAUUUAAUUUUUUUAUGUCUAUUUUAUGCUACACUGCAUUUACAUAAAUGUAGUGUAUUAUUUUUCAAAAUUAUGUACACUAAUUUUAUAUUUAGCGGCAGAUUACUGUAAAUAUUACUGUUAUAUAUUUUCUAUUGCAUCUUCUGAGAAAGAUAUAUUCUACUUAAUGUAUUUUACAUAACUGUAUUUAAUUAAUGGCCGCGGAAUAAUACGUACCGUUUUAACUAUAUUUCCAUAUUAAAAUAAUUAGGACGUAGUAUAUAUCACUACAAUAUAUGUAUAGCCAAUAUGUGCGUAAACCUCUUUGGGUUAUUGUGCAGCUGUGUACAUAAACUCAGUCUACUUCGGAAAUAAUGUUCGUAUAUCAAGCUGAAUACCUCAUAGCAUCUAUGAAGGUGUAAACGCUACUUUUACGUCAAUAAAAAAAAAUACAUUACAUUAAAA